rnacentral:rRNA from 1 species
GAUGAACGCUGGCGGCGUGCCUAAUACAUGCGAGUCGAGCGAACGGACGAGAAGCUUGCUUCUCUGAUGUUAGCGGCGGACGGGUGAGUAACACGUGAAUAACCUACCUAUAAUACUGGGAUAACUUCGGGAAACCGGCGCUAAUACCGGAUAAUAUUUUGAACCGCAUGGUUCAAAAGUGAAAGACGGUCUUGCUGUCACUUAUAGCUGGAUCCGGGCUGCAUUAGCUAGUUGGUAAGGUAACGGCUUACCAAGGCAACGAUGCAUAGACGAACUGAUAGGGGGAUCGGCCGCAUUGGAAGUGAGCCAGCGUCAAGAGUCCUACGGGACGGCCCAGUCGGCUAUCUUACGCAGUGGUCGGGAGCAUGGCGGAGCAGGGCCGCGCGUGAUAUAGAGACCUUGCGAGCGUAAUGAUCGGUUAUUAGGGGAGAACAGAUGUCGAAGGAAAUGUACACAGAUUGACGGUACCGAAUCAGAAAGCCACGGCUAACUACGUG